AUUGAACGCUGGCGGCAGGCCUAACACAUGCCAGUCGAACGGUAACAGGAAACAGCUUGCUGUUUCGCUGACGAGUGGCGGACGGGUGAGUAAUGUCUGGGAAACUGCCUGAUGGAGGGGGAUAACUACUGGAAACGGUAGCUAAUACCGCAUAACGUCGCAAGACCAAAGAGGGGGACCUUCGGGCCUCUUGCCAUCGGAUGUGCCCAGAUGGGAUUAGCUAGUAGGUGGGGUAACGGCUCACCUAGGCGACGAUCCCUAGCUGGUCUGAGAGGAUGACCAGCCACACUGGAACUGAGACACGGUCCAGACUCCUACGGGAGGCAGCAGUGGGGAAUAUUGCACAAUGGGCGCAAGCCUGAUGCAGCCAUGCCGCGUGUAUGAAGAAGGCCUUCGGGUUGUAAAGUACUUUCAGCGGGGAGGAAGGGAGUAAAGUUAAUACCUUUACCCAUUGACGUUACCCGCAGAAGAAGCACCGGCUAACUCCGUG
rnacentral:rRNA from 1 species